rnacentral:rRNA from 1 species
UACGUAGGGGGCGAGCGUUGUCCGGAGUUACUGGGCGUAAAGCGCACGCAGGCGGUCUGCUAAGUUUGGAGUGACAGUUGGUGGCUUAACUGCCAAAGUGCUUCGAAAACUGACAGACUUGAGGGCAUCAGAGGGACACGGAAUUCCGGGUGGAGUGGUGAAAUGCGUAGAGAUCCGGAGGAACACCAAAGGCGAAGGCAGUGUCCUGGGGAGUACCUGACGCUCAGGUGCGAAAGCCAGGGGAGCGAACGGG